rnacentral:rRNA from 1 species
GGUUGCGAUCAUACCAGCACUAAUGCACCGGAUCCAUCAGAACUCGCAGUUAAGCGUGCUUGGGCGAGAGUAGUACUAGGAUGGGUGACCCCCUGGGAAGUCCUCGUGUUGCAACCC